rnacentral:tRNA from 1 species
GGGAAUGUGGUUUAGUGGUAGAGUACUUUCCUAGCAUGUAUGAAGCUGGGAAUUCGAUUCCUCAGUACCA